AUUAAUCAUUAAUUGUAUUGUUAAUGAUUGUGCCUUUUGUUAUCAAGAGACACGGAAGUGGCUUGCAUUUAUUGUGUAUAACAUGCGACGUUUAAUGUACGACGAAGAUUGUAGUUUUUAGCGAUAAAAAGGUGAAUUGUGCUGGUUGGUUGCGUUUUUUCUUUUUGUGUGCAAAACGUGAUUCGUGGUCUGUACAGAAGACAGUAAAAUUCAACCAAAGGAUAUAAAGGAUUUUAAAAUUAUUGAAAUAUUUUCAAAGUAAGGGAGGAUUCUAAGAUGCCUGUGAGCAUCAACAUUUGGCUCAUAAUCUGUUUCACGACUGACAAAUUUGUCAGUGUGCAGUUUAGAUGAGCUGAGAUUAUUAUAUGUAUAUAUACGAUAAAAAUUAUAAUUAGUACCAAGAUCUAACUGUAGAUCAUUUCAGCUUUUUUAACUUUAUUGAUAUGUUUAAACAUAUUGAUUUUUUAUAAAAUAUAUUACUAGUAUUCAAUGAGCCACUACUUUGAACCAAGUGCAACCUGUCAUUUUAUCAAUGAGAAUUUAAAUUGAAAUAGCUCGCAAUGUCCAAUUGUUCACAUUCAAAAGAAUUAUGUUAAAAGUAUUUACGAUAUAGAAAUAAUUUAUAUUUUAUAUGAAAUAUAAUACUUUUAUCGAACUUUACGUUUGUUAAAUGUAUAUUUAGUGUUAUCCAAAAAAAGUAACUAAAAUGUAUCUAAAUAUAGGUACCAAUACAUAAAAAAUUGUAUCUAGAUAUAGAUAUAAAUAUAGAUAUAGGUACAAGAGAUAAAAAGUAUCUCGAUACUGUACCUAGGUACAUAAAUAAAUAAUAUGUACCUAGUUAUAGUACUUAAGUACUUGUACUUAGGUACUACACACCACUGAAUAUAACCCACACAGCAAAUAUAUUUGUAAUAUAAUCAAAUAUCUUUUUUGUACUUACAAUUUUAAAUCAAUUUUAAGGUAUU